GGGAGCUUGCUCCUGGUGGCGAGUGGCGAACGGGUGAGUAAUGCGUCGGAACGUACCGAGUAAUGGGGGAUAACGCAGCGAAAGCUGUGCUAAUACCGCAUACGCCCUGAGGGGGAAAGUGGGGGAUCGCAAGACCUCACGUUAUUCGAGCGGCCGACGUCUGAUUAGCUAGUUGGUGGGGUAAUGGCUCACCAAGGCGACGAUCAGUAGCGGGUCUGAGAGGAUGAUCCGCCACACUGGGACUGAGACACGGCCCAGACUCCUACGGGAGGCAGCAGUGGGGAAUUUUGGACAAUGGGGGCAACCCUGAUCCAGCCAUUCCGCGUGAGUGAAGAAGGCCUUCGGGUUGUAAAGCUCUUUCAGUCGGAAAGAAACGGUGCGCUCUAACAUAGCGUGCUAAUGACGGUACCGGCAGAAGAAGCACCGGCUAACUACGUGCCAGCAGCCGCGGUAAUACGUAGGGUGCGAGCGUUAAUCGGAAUUACUGGGCGUAAAGCGUGCGCAGGCGGAUUGUAAAGCAAGACGUGAAAUCCCCGGGCUUAACCUGGGAAUGGCGUUUUGAACUGGCAGUCUAGAGUGUGUCAGAGGGGGGUGGAAUUCCACGUGUAGCAGUGAAAUGCGUAGAUAUGUGGAGGAACACCAAUGGCGAAGGCAGCCCCCUGGGAUAACACUGACGCUCAUGUACGAAAGCGUGGGUAGCAAACAGGAUUAGAUACCCUGGUAGUCCACGCCCUAAACGAUGUCAACUGGUUGUUGGGGGAGUGAAAUCCCUUAGUAACGAA
rnacentral:rRNA from 1 species